GCGACUAUGCCUGCGGGAGGGCGAGGGCGUCCUUUGGAGGCGGUUCCCUCUCACGCCGCCGCCCUCUGGCUCCUGGGCCUGCCGGGUCUCGGCGAUGGGCGAGGGCUGUGCCCGGUGCCUGCGGCUCCCUCCGCGCCGUGGACCCCCGCGGCCUCCCGGCCUUCCUUACCCCGGCGGCCUGGCGGCCCCGCGAGCUUCACCUCCCCAGCAUCCGAAUCGCGCAGCUCCUCCCGCGAGCGCCCGCCGCCUUCGCUCCCCAGGCCCCAGCUGAGACCGCCAGGAAGGCGGGCUCCUCGACCCCAGAUCAUAAGAGGUGUCUGGGAACUAAGGGUGGGAGGGGGCCAGGGUAGAAAAUGUCAGUUCAAGUACGUUAAAAUUAAGAACUUAGGCUUUGUUUAAAAAACAAUAAAUGAAGUGAAAAAAACAAGCCACAGAGUAAAAGAAGAUACUUGCAGCAAGUGAUAAAGGAUUAGUAUCCAGGAUAUAUAAAGACUGUUAUUGAGUCAAUGUGAAAGAGAAAAACACCUGAAGCAAAGAAUGGAUGCCGGCAUUAAAUAGGCACUUCAAAGAGGAACCAUGAACGACCAAAAUCAAGUGAGUAGGUGACCAGUUCCCAUUAGUAAUUAGGAAAUAGCAAAUUAAGACCACAAAGAGGGCAGUGAGGGUGGCUCACACACCUCUAAUCUCAGCGCUUGGGAGUCCAGGGCCAGAGGAUCCCUUGAGGCCAGGAGGUGGAGUCUAGCCUGGGAAACAUAGCAAGACCCUGUCUCUACAAAAAAAUAAAUAAAUAAAAUAAGAAAAAAGUAAACCACAAGGAGAUGACUUACCACCAGGCAAAAAUAUUAAAGUAUGCUAAUACCAAGUAUCAAGAAGAAUGAAGCAAGAUAGCUCAAAUAUGCUUUUGAAGGAAAUAUACUGGGCUUCAUUCAUUCUGAAAUACCCCUUAUUUAAGAUACUCUAUUAUAUUAAAUACAGUUCCAAAACAAAAGAAAUCAAAGAACAAAAAACUAACCCAAUACUUUUAUCACUUGUAAUUUGUAUAUUACACAUAUUGAAAGAUAUAUUUUAGACUUAUUAGAGAACGAUUUUUAAUUGGAUAUCACUCUUGUGCAUACAAAAUAAAAUAAAAUUGAUUAAGGUGUUUCUAACA
rnacentral:lncRNA from 10 species